rnacentral:rRNA from 1 species
UUAAAGGAAUUGACGGAAGGGCACUACCAGGAAUGGAGCCUGCGGCUUAAUUUGACUCAACACGGGGAAGCUUACCUGGAUAGGACACAGGAAGGAUUGACAGAUUAAGAGCUCUUUCUUGAUUCUGUGGAAGGUGGUGCAUGGCCAUUCUUAGUUGGUGGAGCGAUUUGUCUGGUUAAUUCCGAUAACGAUCGAGACUCUAGCCUACUAAAUAGACGUUCCGAUCCUUGCUGUCGGACGCUCUUCUUAGAGGGACACGCGGCGUUUAGCCGCACGAGACAGAGCAAUAGUAGGUCUGUGAUGCCCUUAGAUGUCCAGGGCCGCACGCGCGCUACAAUGAAGGAAUCAGCGUGUGCUUUCCCUGCCCGACAGGGCUGGGUAACCCGUUGAACCUCCUUCGUGCUUGGGAUAGGCGCUUGUAAUUCGCCUUGAACGAGGAAUUCCCAGUAAGCGCGAGUCAUCAGCUCGUGUUGAUUACGUCCCUGCCCUUUGUGCACACCGCCCGUCGCAACAUCCGAUGGAAUGAGUUAGUGAGGUCCUCGGACUGGCGCUCGGAUUGACCUCCGGGUCGAGCCGGCGUGCCGGAAAGAUGAUCGAACUUGGUCAUUUAGAGGAAGUUAAAGUCGUAACAAGGUUUC